CUGAGGAAGAAAAACAUAGGGACUUCCACAGAACUGGACCCUGCAUCCUGGGAAAGGCAGUCUUGUCCAUGAAGAUGCUGGGGAUUCAUACAUUAAUAUAAGGCUGCCCUUGACUUUUGGUGAAGAACACAGCCAUACGAAGUGUCACAGCCAGCAGAGGCAAGAGUGAGAAGAAAGGUCUGGUGCUAUUCAGUCUACUGCAUGAAACCUUACCAGAGAAGUCUCCAGAGCUGGUGCUGUUGUAUUGCUG